rnacentral:rRNA from 1 species
UACGUAGGGUGCAAGCGUUGUCCGGAAUUAUUGGGCGUAAAGAGCUCGUAGGCGGUCUGUCGCGUCGGCUGUGAAAACUCGGGGCUCAACUCCGAGCUUGCAGUCGAUACGGGCAGGCUAGAGUUCGGCAGGGGAGACUGGAAUUCCUGGUGUAGCGGUGAAAUGCGCAGAUAUCAGGAGGAACACCGGUGGCGAAGGCGGGUCUCUGGGCCGAUACUGACGCUGAGGAGCGAAAGCGUGGGGAGCGAACAGGG